AAGGUUAACCGCAUAGGGGAGCCGGAGGGAAACCGAGUCUUAACCGGGCGUUAAGUUGCAGGGUAUAGACCCGAAACCCGGUGAUCUAGCCAUGGGCAGGUUGAAGGUUGGGUAACACUAACUGGAGGACCGAACCGACUAAUGUUGAAAAAUUAGCGGAUGACCUGUGGCUGGGGGUGAAAGGCCAAUCAAACCGGGAGAUAGCUGGUUCUCCCCGAAAGCUAUUUAGGUAGCGCCUCGUGAAUUCAUCUCCGGGGGUAGAGCACUGUUUCGGCUAGGGGGCCAUCCCGGCUUACCAACCCGAUGCAAACUGCGAAUACCGGAGAAUGUUAUCACGGGAGACACACGGCGGGUGCUAACGUCCGUCGUGAAGAGGGAAACAACCCAGACCGCCAGCUAAGGUCCCAAAGUCAUGGUUAAGUGGGAAACGAUGUGGGAAGGCCCAGACAGCCAGGAUGUUGGCUUAGAAGCAGCCAUCAUUUAAAGAAAGCGUAAUAGCUCACUGGUCGAGUCGGCCUGCGCGGAAGAUGUAACGGGGCUAAACCAUGCACCGAAGCUGCGGCAGCGACGCUUAUGCGUUGUUGGGUA
rnacentral:rRNA from 1 species